rnacentral:rRNA from 1 species
AGUGAACGCUGGCGGUAGGCCUAACACAUGCCAGUCGAACGGCAGCACAGUAAGAGCUUGCUCUUACGGGUGGCGAGUGGCGGACGGGUGAGGAAUACAUCGGAAUCUACUUUUUCGUGGGGGAUAACGUAGGGAAACUUACGCUAAUACCGCAUACGACCUACGGGUGAAAGCAGGGGAUCUUCGGACCUUGCGCGAUUGAAUGAGUCGAUGUCGGAUUAGCUAGUUGGCGGGGUAAAGGCCCACCAAGGCGACGAUCCGUAGCUGGUCUGAGAGGAUGAUCAGCCACACUGGAACUGAGACACGGUCCAGACUCCUACGGGAGGCAGCAGUGGGGAAUAUUGGACAAUGGGCGCAAGCCUGAUCCAGCCAUACCGCGUGGGUGAAGAAGGCCUUCGGGUUGUAAAGCCCUUUUGUUGGGAAAGAAAAGCAGCAGGUUAAUACCCCGCUGUUCUGACGGUACCCAAAGAAUAAGCACCGGCUAACUUCGUG